rnacentral:rRNA from 1 species
GAUGAACGCUGGCGGCGUGCCUAAUACAUGCAAGUCGAGCGAACGGACGAGGAGCUUGCUCCUCUGACGUUAGCGGCGGACGGGUGAGUAACACGUGGAUAACCUACCUAUAAGACUGGGAUAACUUCGGGAAACCGGAGCUAAUACCGGAUAAUAUAUUGAACCGCAUGGUUCAAUAGUGAAAGACGGUUUUGCUGUCACUUAUAGAUGGAUCCGCGCCGCAUUAGCUAGUUGGUAAGGUAACGGCUUACCAAGGCAACGAUGCGUAGCCGACCUGAGAGGGUGAUCGGCCACACUGGAACUGAGACACGGUCCAGACUCCUACGGGAGGCAGCAGUAGGGAAUCUUCCGCAAUGGGCGAAAGCCUGACGGAGCAACGCCGCGUGAGUGACGAAGGUCUUCGGAUCGUAAAACUCUGUUAUUAGGGAAGAACAAAUGUGUAAGUAACUAUGCACGUCUUGACGGUACCUAAUCAGAAAGCCACGGCUAACUACGUG